GCAGGCUGCAACCCGCCUGCAUGAAGUUGGAAUCGCUAGUAAUCGCGGAUCAGCAUGCCGCGGUGAAUACGUUCCCGGGCCUUGUACACACCGCCCGUCACACCAUGAGAGUCGGGAACACCCGAAGUCCGUAGCCUGACCGCAAGGGGGGCGCGGCCGAAGGUGGGUUCGAUAAUUGGGGUGAAGUCGUAACAAGGUACC
rnacentral:rRNA from 1 species